GUGCUCUCUUAGGCAACACAUGUACCGAAACUGGAAUGAUACAGAGAUUAGCAUGGUCCCUGCACAAGGAUGACUCGCAAAUUCACGAAGUGCUCCAUAUUUUU